CAGCACCUCAAGUGGUCAGGAUGAUUAUUGGGCCUAAAGCAUCCGUAGCCGGCUCUGUAAGUUUUCGGUUAAAUCUGUACGCUCAACGUACAGGCUGCCGGGAAUACUGCAGAGCUAGGGAGUGGGAGAGGUAGACGGUACUCGGUAGGAAGGGGUAAGAUCCUUUGAUCUAUUGAUGACCACCUGUGGCGAAGGCGGUCUACCAGAACACGUCCGACGGUGAGGGAUGAAAGCUGGGGGAGCAAUCCGGAUUAGAUACCCGAGUAGUCC
rnacentral:rRNA from 1 species